GGGGCUGGCGUGCAGAGGGUUAAGUGCUGAUGAGGGGCCGGCGUGCAGAGGGUUAAGUGCUGAUGAGGGCUCCGUCUCUGCAUCAGUGAGCUUAAUACGCUCCUCAUUUGCAUACUGCAGUGUGCGCGAUUAACAUGAACUUUUAAUUUCUUCUAAGUAAAUUACUUCUUGCCGGUACGUGAGGCGCACAAAUGUCAGAAAAAUGGGAGCGCCUUACUGAGUCGGGGAGGGGAUGGGAGCUGUUGGGAGUCACCCCAGGAACAUGCACGCGCACGCACACACACACACACACACACACACAUGCACACACGCAUGGAUUCAUGUGGGCCAGCAGCGCACACACUGGCCGCCUCUGGCCAGCCGUGCACAGACCCAGGACUGGCCGGCUGCCUCCACCCGGCAAACUCGCCCUGCACACCCAGCACUGUGGGAUCCAGGGCAGAGCUUAGGGGGUGGUGGCCACCUGAGCCCGGAUAUCAUGGGCACACGGGACCAGGAGCGUCUCAGGAGGGGUGUGGUCAAGGAGCCUCCAGCUGGACCCU
rnacentral:lncRNA from 10 species